CCUGCUGUAACUAGACUUUACAACUAUGUGUUCUGUUUCAGCUCAGCCGCCUCCCCACCCUGAUAAUAAAGUGUUAUAUUGGUAUCUUCCACUAGAUGGCAGUAAACACCUGUUGUAUCUCCAUGUAAUCUGGUUCAUUAUGAUCUAGGAUCAGCUCCCCCUCUCCAUGUAAUCUGAUUCAUUAUGAUCUAGGAUCAGGUCCCCCUCUCCAUGUAAUCUGAUUCAUUAUGAUCUAGGAUCAGGUCCCCCUCUCCAUGUAAUCUGAUUCAUUAUGAUCUAGGAUCAGGUCCCUCUCCAUGUAAUCUGAUUCAUUAUGAUCUAGGAUCAGGUCCCCCCUCUCCAUGUAAUCUGAUUCAUUAUGAUCUAGGAUCAGGUCCCCCUCUCCAUGUAAUCUGAUUCAUUAUGAUCUAGGAUCAGGUCC
ensembl:lncRNA